UACGUAGGGGGCAAGCGUUGUCCGGAAUUAUUGGGCGUAAAGAGCGUGUAGGCGGUUCGAUAAGUCUGCUGUAAAAGUCAGGGGCUCAACCCUUGAAGGCCGGUGGAUACUGUCGAACUAGAGUACGGAAGAGGCGAGUGGAAUUCCUGGUGUAGCGGUGAAAUGCGCAGAUAUCAGGAGGAACACCGGUGGCGAAGGCGGAUCUCUGGGCCUUACCUGACGCUCAGGCACGAAAGCUAGGGGAGCGAACAGG
rnacentral:rRNA from 1 species